rnacentral:rRNA from 1 species
GACGAACGCUGGCGGCGUGCUUAACACGUGCAAGUCGAACGGAAAGGCCCUGCUUGCAGGGUACUCGAGUGGCGAACGGGUGAGUAACACGUGGGUGAUCUGCCCUGCACUUCGGGAUAAGCCUGGGAAACUGGGUCUAAUACCGGAUAGGAGCCAUUUUUAGUGUGAUGGUUGGAAAGUUUUUUCGGUGUAGGAUGAGCUCGCGGCCUAUCAGCUUGUUGGUGGGGUAAUGGCCUACCAAGGCGGCGACGGGUAGCCGGCCUGAGAGGGUGGACGGCCACAUUGGGACUGAGAUACGGCCCAGACUCCUACGGGAGGCAGCAGUGGGGAAUAUUGCACAAUGGGCGCAAGCCUGAUGCAGCGACGCCGCGUGGGGGAUGACGGCCUUCGGGUUGUAAACUCCUUUCGCUAGGGACGAAGCUUUUGUGACGGUACCUAGAUAAGAAGCACCGGCGAACUACGU